GAGCUAGGAUGUAGUCUAGCAUUAAAGCAAAGCUCGAACUCUAGGACUGCCCCUGAAUAACUUUUUUUCUCUUUCUUUUGACUGCUCUAGUUGUCUGAAAGCACUGUGGCAUAUGCCAAGCUGGUGCCUGAGAAAGAAUUGUCAGGAACAUUGGUUAGUAACAAAGACAGUUGCUUAUAAGGAACUAAAGAACACUAAGUCAAAAUGUCAGGCACCUAUAGUCCAGAAUGCUUGGCCUGUUUAUGUCAAAGUUAGGGUGUAGAGUAUCUUCUAUUUGUUCAGAUAAUUACUUCUCAUUUUUCUGAUGAGCCUUUGUUUGUUUGUUUAUUUGUUGUUUUGUCUUGGACUAAGAUAAGUUUUAAUACCUUAACUUGGUAACCCAAAGCAUUUUUCAGCAUGAAUAGGAAAUAGCAAGGUUGUUACCUUGUAGAUUUCCCAACCCAUGUUAUUUUUUGCAAUAACUUCAACCAGGGUAUUACACUUCACUUAUUUCACAAUGAGGGCUUUGUCCAUCUCUCUCCUGAGUGUGAGUCUAAGAUCCAGUAGUGCUUGGAGAGGUAUAAUUAGUCAUAUCCAAAUAUAAAUCCAGGGUACUUCUUGAGAGGAUAUGAGGCAUCUAGAUCAUUGCUGGAGUAUGUAGCCUAGAGACAUCCUGAUCCUACCAAACUGCUCUAGUUCAUACUUUCUCAAAUAGAAACCCUUAAAAUCAGUGUUACCAUCUACUUUUAUGCCAUUUUGGAGUGAAAACUAUGCAACUAUGAAAACAAUGGACUCUGAAGAUCAUAGUAGAUUGGACAGGUACCUGCUUGUGGGAACCAAAAGCCUUGGGAAUGGAUAGACAGGAAAAUAACCGGUUCAAAGGAAAUGUCUUCUUUCUGGGAAGUGAGCUAAGCACUUUCUGUUGUUUAACUUGAAUAUUAGGCAUUUGAUGAAGAUUUGAUAGUUGAAAGGAUCAGUGAAUGAAUGGCUCCAUUAUUUUAUGAAGAAUGAGAGUAAUUGCAUAGGAGGAAAAAGAAACUCUAAGAGAAAAUAGAGAAAGUAUGGCACAUCCAUAAGGGUAUGGGUUGGGGCCUCAGAGGUGGGUUCAAGUGCCAACUCAGCUGCUUAUGCCCCUUGGCAUAGUCUCAGUUUCCUCAGUUUCCUCAUUACAAAAUAGGGAUGAUUUUACCUAUGUUGUGAUGCAAUGUGGGGCAAUGAUGAGGCAUGUGUACAAGUUAAGUGCUAAGUAAACAGCCACCAUCAAUAUAGGGAGGAAAUGAGAGAGAGAGAGAAGGAAAGGAGAUCCUGUCCAGCCAAGAAGAUGUCUGCAUAGAUGAAAAGACUGGCCCUGGCCAGGAAGAGCUAGACUGGUUAAGAAACCAAACCCCGACUCAGCCUUUAUUUGAACUUCUGAGUAUAAUGAAAGCAUCAUGAAAAGAAGGACUUUGUUUCAUUGACUACUCUUCAGCAGGGCCUAAAACAGUGCCUGGCAAAUAUUCCAAGGAUGAGUGUUCCAGGAAACAUGCAAGAGGUAUGGUCUGCUGAGCUGCGUGGCCUUCUGUGACCCAGCCUCAGAAGUCAUGAUGCAUUUCUUCCUUGCUCUCAUUGGUCAUCAGAAGCAGUCACAAACCUACCUACCCAGAUGCCAGUGGAAGAGAUGACAUUGUCCCCAUUUUUCCUUGGACGAAGGGUGAAAGAAUUUGCAGCCCUGUUUUCAUACUGCCUGAAUGAGGUAAAACUCAGUGAAGAGGUGAGUGAGUAGUUAGGAAAGUGUUCUGGGCUGGGAUGAAAGUUUGAGCAGGGGUAGGAUAGGACAAGUGGAUUUAGGAGCCAUAGAGUCAAGACUCAUGUGCUCAG